rnacentral:rRNA from 1 species
GUUUAUCAAAAACAUGGCCUUUUGAGUAUAAUUUAAGGUCUGACCUGCCCACUGAAUUUUAAAGGGCCGCGGUAAUUUGACCGUGCUAAGGUAGCAUAAUCAUUAGUUUUUUAAUUGGAAGCUAGAAUGAAUGGUUGGAUGAGAAAAUAACUGUCUUAAUUUAAUUUACAAUGAAUUUUAUUUUUAAGUUAAAAAGCUUAAGUAAGUUUCAAAGACGAGAAGACCCUAUAGAAUUUAAUAAAUUAAUUUAUUAAUAUUUUUAGUAUUAUUAUUUUAAUAAGUAAGGUUUAUUUAGUUGGGGUGAUUGUAAAAUUUAAUAAACUUUUAUUGUUAUAUAACAUAAAUAUAUGAUUUUUUGAUCCAACAAUGUUGAUUAUAAGAUUAAAUUACCUUAGGGAUAACAGCGUAAUUUUUUUUGAGAGUUCAAAUCGAAAAAAAAGUUUGCGACCUCGAUGUUGGAUUAAAAUUAAUUUUUGGUGUAGAGGCUAAGAAU